GCGCCCGUAGCUCAGUGGAUAGAGCGCUGCCCUCCGGAGGCAGAGGCCGCAGGUUCGAAUCCUGCCGGGCGCGCCA
rnacentral:tRNA from 1 species